rnacentral:lncRNA from 1 species
CCCAGGUGGAGUGGUAAAUGAUGGUGGCUCGUCCCCUCUUUGAGUUUUCUGUAAAAUGCCUUUGGCUGAAUUGCCCCCCCCCCCACUCCUCUUCCCCAGUCAGGUUCAUGGACUGCAGGUUAGCUCUAACUCACUGUGGGCCCAAAGACGACCUUGGCCUUCUGAUGUUUCUGCCUCUACUUCUGGAGUGCUGGGAUCUAAGGAUUCUCUAUGUAACAGCCCUGGGUACUGAGGAUGGAACCCAAGACCUUGCACACUCUAGCUGAGUGUUCACCUCCGAGCAGCACCCUUUGCACACUCUAGCUGGGUGUUCAUCUCCGAGUGGCACCCCAGCCCUCGAUGAAUGUCUGUCCCAUAGAUUUUCCUCUUGAAUUGUUGGGAAGUUUCCAAAUAUUGGUCACAAGGUGUUGGGGACAUGCCCUCCUGAGGAGCAGCUUUAUAGCCCUAACAGGAUGACAGUGGGACCAAACUCAAGGGGACUCCAGUUUGGUUCUACAUGCACACACCAACGAUGGGCAGCACAAAACUUCCUGUAAUCCAGUG